CCUACGGGCGGCAGCAGUAGGGAAUAUUGCUCAAUGGGGGAAACCCUGAAGCAGCAACGCCGCGUGGAGGAUGAAGGUUUUAGGAUUGUAAACUCCUUUUGUUAGAGAGGAUUAUGACGGUAUCUAACGAAUAAGCACCGGCUAACUCCGUGCCAGCCGGCGCGGUAAUACGGAGGGUGCAAGCGUUACUCGGAAAAACUGGGCGGAAAGGGUGCGGAGGCGGGGGAAUAAGUCAGAUGUGAAAUCCUGUAGCUUAACUACAGAACUGCAUUUGAAACUGUUACUCUGGAGUGUGGUAGAGGUAGGUAGAAUUCUUGGUGUAGGGGUAAAAUCCGUAGAGAUCAAGAGGAAUACUCAUGGCGAAGGCGACCUGCUGGAACAGUACUGACGCUGAUGCACGAAAGCGUGGGGAGCAAACAGGAUUAGAUACCCGUGUAGUC
rnacentral:rRNA from 1 species